GAUCACCUCCUUAAGCCCAGAGAGAAGCAGUGUGUUGGAGUGUGUUGGGGUCGCCUACCUUCAUCUCGGCCUGGGGCAGGGGGCAGUCAGAGAAGGAGCUGAAGGAGGGCAGUACAGCCUGCACGACCGCCAUGAGGGAGUCCUGCUCUGAUCAACAGCUUUAUGACCAAUCACAUAAACGUGGGAAUUAAAGGAAUAAACAGAAACAGUGAGUGAAUCCCCUCGUACCGAUUGAGUCAAACUCAACAAGUUUAAAGUCUAAAGCGGCCUCCCGGUCUCCAUGUUGCCCCCCCUCUGCCUCUUGCUCCCCCUCUCUCUCUCUUGUCUAUCUCUGUCAGCUGCGAGCUUCACUUCAAAUCUCUCUGUUUCAUGUUGCUUCUGACCGUUGGAAGGUGGAGCGUGUUUCUGUGCAUGUGUGUGUGUGGUUAGUGUGGGUGUGUGCAAGCAGACGUUUGUAUGUGUGUGCUUGUGAGAAUUGUGUGUGUGUGUGUGUGUGUGUGUGUGUGUGUGUGUGUGUGUCAUUCAGCAUGUGAGAAUGGUUCACACUGAUGUUCUGCCUUUAUUCACAAGAUUAACUGGUAUCCAAAACCAAUUUGUGUGUGUGUGCGUGUGCGUGUGCGUGUGUGUGUGUGGCUAUGGUUAAGUCACACCUACUGUGAAGCAGAAAAUAACAAGUUGGGAAAACUCUACCCGGAUUCUACCCGGGAUCUGGACUUAGUGUUAAACUGACAGGAAGUGAUGGCACCCUGUUUGAAGAGCCAGUGUCUCGUGGUGGCUGAGCCUCACGGCCCUUGUUAGUGUCUGGGGAAAAGUGGCAUUCUGUGACGCCAUAAAAACACUUUUCAUUCAAAAGUUGACAAGCGGGUGGCAGCGAAACAGUGGGGCCUCGCCCCCGCCUAAACAAAACCUAAAACGUGAAUGAGUAAACGUUGUAGCAAACCAUGACAUUACGAUUUAGUGUUGGAUUAAGAUAAGCUCAGAGACGCGUGUAUAUGGGGACACACACAUUUGACCACAUGAGUCGAGUUGUGCGCUCCGCAGUAGGAUGCGUAGUGUGUAUUUCUGUGGAGAUCUGUGUGUGGAGGUGAUUAUGGCAGAGUUGUGUUUAUCUGCUCCCAGAGGGCCUGCACACAGGCUCCUGUAUCAGAUAAGGG
ensembl:lncRNA